AGUGAACGCUGGCGGUAGGCCUAACACAUGCAAGUCGAACGAGUGGCGGACGGGUGAGGACUACACCGGAAUCUACUCUGUCGAGGGGGAUAACGUAGGGAAACUUAUGCUAAUACCGCAUACGACUGAAUGAGCCGAUGUCGGAUUAGCUAGUUGGCGGGGUAAAGGCCCACCAAGGCGACGAUCCGUAGCUGGUCUGAGAGGAUGACCAGCCACACUGGGACUGAGACACGGUCCAGACUCCUACGGGAGGCAGCAGUGGGGAAUAUUGGACAAUGGGCGCAAGCCUGAUCCAGCCAUACCGCGUGGGUGAAGAAGGCCUUCGGGUUGUAAAGCCCUUUUGUUAGGAAAGCGGUACCCAAAGAAUAAGCACCGGCUAACUUCGUGCCAGCAGCCGCGGUAAUAC
rnacentral:rRNA from 1 species